GUUCUUUUUUUUUCUUAUCUUUUGUUUUUCUUCAGCAAAUCCUUAAACAAUAUCUCUAUAGUUUUGUUGUGCAUAAUUAAUGUCCUCAAAGGUUCUCUACGUUUAUUUCUCCACUAAUGUAUUAUGUCUUCUUUAGAAAUGAUCUAUGAUUUGUUUUUCCUCUCCUUAAUCUAAUUUAUUUAUCCUGUAUUUAUUAUCAUGUUUCCUUCUUGAAUCUUUUCAUUAGGAUUUUUUUCUGAUCAUGUCAGGCAUGCCCAACUUCAAUUUACAGAUACCUCCCUUUGAUCCAUGACAAAUCUUAAACUUUUAAAUCUUUUCAUCGAAUAUAUGUAUAAGGAUUUUUGACUGGAUUUCAUUUGAGAUGGUUUGAUGGUGCAUUUAAUAAAUAAACAUUCCUAUAAAUCUUUGUUCGUCCAUUUAUCUGAUGAGUUGUAAAUAAAUGAAACUCUAUGACCAAUUUUUUCUAUCUUUGGUUUCUUGCUCCUUCACUAUACAGCUAUAUACGGUCAUGCAUAUAGACAUUAUUCCUCAUUUGUGUGAUUAUUAUAUUUCAGGUUUUGGAGGUUCUUGAAUGUGUAAUGCGUAUAUGACUGCUAGAGCAUCAUUUGGUUCCUAAUGGGACAAGGACUAGGACUUAAGUUGGGAUUAAAAGUUCCAAUCUUAUGUUUGGUUUCCUGUUCAAUGUUCUUGGGAAUAUGAUACUCAAAUCCCACUUCCAUGUUUGGUUAGUCUAAAAUUGAGAUUAGCAUGUAUUAUUCUAAAAUUGGGUUUAUGAUACAAAUUCCAGAUCCGUUUGGAACUAUAACUCAAAUUUCAGACCGUUUGGGUUUAUGAUUCAAAUGUAAGACCCGUUUAGGCCUUUGCUCACUGAAAAUUAGUUUUGUAGAUUUCUAUGCUAUCAAAUUAAAACCGUUUGGCCCGCUUUGACACUAACAAUUAUGAAAAUUAUUUACUUUUCCUUUUGUUAAGAUGAAUGAUGAUAAUGUUUAAUCUCUUGAUGCUUAUUGGAUCACCUGAUGCUAUGUUUGAUCACCUAGUGAUAUUUAAUAGGGUUGAUUGUGCAUGAAGACGACUUGCGUUAUAAAAUGUGUUAUCAUAGCAUGGUUGUACCCUCAACAUCGAUAUCCCAAUGAGUUUUCUGACUCUCCUGGAGUUUGUGCACCCUAGACUCGGGAAUUGUUUUUUCUUCGCAGGAUUGAGAGUACUUUGAGGAUCAGGUCCAGCGGUAGUGAUCACCUUCUGUCCUAUCAAUUUUUUAGCUUCAGUUUAUUUAGGUAGUCAUUUAUUCUAGACUUUUUCUUAGCCACACGUGGUUCUCCAGACUAUGAUGUGUUUUCCCAUUUCCCAUUUUGGAUAGUUGUGGACUUGUGGUAGAAUAUUGUAAUUUUAGAGAUUUUUUUACCUAUCUAUUUUCUUUGUUAUCUUA